GACGAACGCUGGCGGCGUGCUUAACACAUGCAAGUCGAACGGAAAGGCCUGCUUUCCCUUGUGGAUUGCGGGUACUCGAGUGGCGAACGGGUGAGUAACACGUGAGUGAUCUGCCCCCAACUUGGGUAUAAGCCUGGGAAACUGGGUCUAAUUCCCGAUAGGACUGCAGGGUGGUGCCUGUGGUGGAAAACGAUUUUCUAGUGGUUGGGGAUGAGCUCGCGGCCUAUCAGCUUGUUGGUGGGGUAAUGGCCUACCAAGGCGGCGACGGGUAGCCGGCCUGUGAGGGUGGACGGCCACAUUGGGACGGAGGUACGGCCACGACUCCUACGGUAGGCAGCAGUGGGGAAUAAUGCACAGUGGGCGGAAGCCUGAUGCAGCGACGCCGCGUGGGGGAUGACGGCCUUCGGGUUGUAAACUCCUUUCGACCGCGAGGAAGCCACCUGGUUGGAAGGGUGGUGACGGUAGUGGUAGAAGAAGCACCGGCUAACUACGUG
rnacentral:rRNA from 1 species